rnacentral:lncRNA from 1 species
UUAUUACAUGUAUAGAUGUCUUGCCUGAUUGAAAGUGACCAAAGCCACCCUAGCAGUAGCUUGCAUGUAUGUGGGCCCAUCCCAGAGAAGAUGAAAUACAGACCAAGGUGCAGCAGAAAUGAAUGUCGAUUUGUUAAGAAAAAAAAAGAGAAAGGCUUGUGGCUUUCGAGUAGGGCGGCUUCCAUUAGACGAAUACCAACCCUCUGCCCUGCUCAGUGACCACUUAGGAGGUUUGGCUGGGGAGUCACAAGAGAUGGAGGUCAGCUUUAUUGAGAGUGGGUUCUUUGGAGCACACCAUGAGUUGAGCCACUCCUGGGUCCAACAGAAGACAUAGUCACAUGGGAAGUGGUCACCAGAAAGGCCAGCUGGGCACCAGCCUGUAGAGGACAAUUCACAUUCAACCGGGUGCCUACAGGACCUCCCUCCUUGUCACAUCUAAAUAGGUAUUUAGACGUUGCUA